AGUGAACGCUGGCGGCGUGCUUAACACAUGCAAGUCGAACGAGAACGGAUUAUAGCUUGCUAUAAUUGUCAGCUAAGUGGCGCACGGGUGAGUAAUGUAUAGGUAAUAUGCCUCUUACUAAGGGAUAACAAAUGGAAACGUUUGCUAAUACCUUAUACUCCUUAUUAACAGAAGUUAAUAAGGGAAAGAUUUAUUGGUAAGAGAUUAGCCUGUAUUGUAUCAGUUAGUUGGUGGGGUAAUGGCUUACCAAGACUAUGACACAUAACUGGUUUGAGAGGAUGAUCAGGCACACGGGAACUGAGACACGGUCCAGACUCCUACGGGAGGCAGCAGUGGGGAAUAUUGCACAAUGGACGAAAGUCUGAUGCAGCAACGCCGCGUGGAGGAUGACACAUUUCGGUGCGUAAACUCCUUUUAUAUGAGAAGAUAAUGACGGUAUUAUAUGAAUAAGCACCGGCUAACUCCGUGCCAGCAGCCGCGGUAACAC
rnacentral:rRNA from 1 species